UUAGUAAAAAAAAACUCACGCUUGCUAGUUC
rnacentral:sRNA from 1 species